AGCUUUGUGCAGUGGCAGUAUCGUAGCCAAUGAGGUUUAUCCGAGGUGCGGUUAUUGCUAGCUGAAAGAAGUAGUUCUCACUGCUUCCAUCACCAAAGGUCUGUGUCCCCAUGCCUUCCCCUUAGAUCAUCAUUAUAAUUCUCCCACAGUGCUAACAUCUGGGCUGACUUACUUUUUUCACAUUUGUGUGUUUAAUUCUCUGUAAUCUGCAUAUGAAU
rnacentral:snRNA from 12 species